rnacentral:rRNA from 1 species
UCUUUAUAUUAAACUAUUUAAAAUUAAUUAAUAUGUAAAUUUAAUAAAUAAAAUGGAAAAUAUUAUAUUGGGGUGAUAAGAAUAUAAAUUAUAUAACUGUUCUAAAAUUUAAACAAAAUUAUUUGUACAAAUAGUAGAUCCUUUUUUAAGAUUAAAAAUUUAAGUU